rnacentral:rRNA from 1 species
UACGUAGGGACCAAGCGUUGUUCGGAUUUACUGGGCGUAAAGCGCGCGUAGGCGGAUCGCUAAGUCAGGGGUGAAAUCCCAGGGCUCAACCCUGGAACUGCCUUUGAUACUGACGAUCUGGAGAUCGGGAGAGGUUGGUGGAAUUCCGAGUGUAGAGGUGAAAUUCGUAGAUAUUCGGAGGAACACCAGAAGCGAAGGCGGCCAACUGGCCCGAUACUGACGCUGAGGCGCGAAAGCGUGGGGAGCAAACAGG